rnacentral:rRNA from 1 species
UACGUAGGGGGGCAAGCGUUGUCCGGAAUUAUUGGGCGUAAAGAGCGUGUAGGCGGCCAGAUAAGUCCGCUGUGAAAUCUCGAGGCUCAACUUCGAGCUGUCGGUGGAAACUAUUUGGCUAGAGUCCGGAAGAGGAGAAUGGAAUUCCUGGUGUAGCGGUGAAAUGCGCAGAUAUCAGGAAGAACACCCGUGGCGAAGGCAGCUCACUGGGACGGUAUUGACGCUGAGACGCGAAAGCGUGGGGAGCAAACAGG